UACCAGCUCCGCGAGUGGUCGGGACGAUUAUUGGGCCUAAAGCGUUCGUAGCCGGCCUAUCAAGUCUCUGGUUAAAUUUCAAGGCUUAACCUUGAGAGUGCUGGAGAUACUGUUAGGCUAGGGGGCGGGAGAGGUUGAGGGUACUUCACGGGUAGGGGCGAAAUCCUAUAAUCCGUGAAGGACCACCAGUGGCGAAGGCGCUCAACUGGAACGCGCCCGACGGUGAGGGACGAAAGCCAGGGGAGCAAAGGGGAUUAGAUACCCCCGUAGUCCUGGCUGUAAACGAUGCGGGCUAGGUGUUGGGUUGGCUUCGUGCCAACCCGGUGCCGCAGCGAAGGCGAUAAGCCCGCCGCCUGGGAAGUACGGCUGCAAGGCUGAA
rnacentral:rRNA from 1 species